rnacentral:rRNA from 1 species
UACGUAGGGUGCAAGCGUUAUCCGGAAUUAUUGGGCGUAAAGAGCUCGUAGGCGGUUUGUCGCGUCUGCUGUGAAAACCGGAGGCUCAACCUCCAGCCUGCAGUGGGUACGGGCAGACUAGAGUGCGGUAGGGGAGAUUGGAAUUCCUGGUGUAGCGGUGGAAUGCGCAGAUAUCAGGAGGAACACCGAUGGCGAAGGCAGAUCUCUGGGCCGUAACUGACGCUGAGGAGCGAAAGCAUGGGGAGCGAACAGG